rnacentral:lncRNA from 14 species
AUGACCGGUCCUUGCACUGCGUGUAAAUCCGACAUCAGCAACCUGGAACCGUUCGGAGACUGGCGCGAUGCGCUGCCGAGGUGCACGCGUGUGCGCAGCCGAGGCAGCCGCAGCGGGCGGAACGUGGUGCGCGGAGAAGGAAGAAAUAAUCUUAUGGAAGAGAACAGAAUGAAAUGGCUGCAGAUGAACCUGACCCAGUAUUUACUUGUGUGUCUAACAGAAAAAAACGUAUAUAUUUUCAUGGAUCUCAGAAGCUUGCAAAUUUCUCUCCGAAGUAUGAAAGAAGAUUCUUUGAUUUGUUGCAUUCUGCAGCAUAUUUUGGUUUGGAUACUGGAACUGGAUGCAAAUGGACUCAGCAAGCCAAAUAAAAGAUGCAGGGAUGCAGGAAUCUUCUGUUUUAGAGAAGAGUGUCCCAUCACUCCUGCUCCUUCUUACACUUACGCCUACAGGUUGCCAUUUCUGAGGUUUCAUUCCAAGAUGAAAUGUGCAUUCUGAAAUGCCCUACUAGUUUCUUGAGAGAUUAAACUGCUUGGUGAUCAAUAAGUGCACUUGCUGUUCAAGGAAAAGACUGACAUGAACCCUGCAGAAAUUCUCAGCAACAGGUCAUGAACAAUUCUAAGAAGUACAUAAAGUAAACUGCAACUAAAGAAAGAAGCAUUGGGAUUUAGCUGAGAUUUCGCCCGUUAAGAGAUGUGGCAGUAUACACUUUGCUUAUGCCAUCUGCACAAGUGAGGAACUCACUCCAGCACUUCAGGCACUGCUAUAUUAAAUAUUGAUGGGUAUUCACUGUAUAGUAGAUUUUCCCUUCCAAGGAACUGAUAAAUAGUUAAUGAAGAGUCCAUCCCGAAUGGGUAAUUCUUUCAGUAACAACAGUUUGUUUGCCCCUUGAGGUUUCAUUUUUUCUCUCUCGUAAAACAAAAUAUAAUUUAACUUAGGUUUAUUAUUUUGUAACCUAAAUAAAAAUACCUAUAUGUAUUGAUUGCUGGGUUCU